rnacentral:miRNA from 1 species
UCCUGAGACAUUACCUGGUUAUAAUCUGGUUAUAACCUGGUUAUAUCCUGAGACAUUACCUGGUUAUAACCUGGUCAUAACCUGGUUAUAUCCUGAGACAUUAC